GAUGAACGCUGGCGGCGUGCCUAAUACAUGCAAGUCGAGCGAACAGACCAGGAGCUUUCUCCUCUGACUUUAUCGGCGGACGGGUGAGUCACACGUGGUUAACCUACCUCUACGACUGGGAUAACUUCGGCAAACCGUAUCUAAUACCGGAUAAUAUAUUGAACCUCAUUGUUCACUAGUUAAAUUCGGUUUUUCUUUGACUUAUGGAUUAAUCCGCGCCGCAUUAGUUAGUUGUUUAGGUAACUGCUUACCAAGGCAACGACGCGAAGCCGACCUGAGAGGGUGGUCGGACAGACUGGAAGUGAGACACGGCAGAGACUCCGGCAGGAGGCAGCAGUAGGGAAUCUUACGGGAGGGGGGAAAGCGUGACGGAGGAAAGCCGGGGGAAUGAUGAAGGACUUAGGAUCGGAAAACGCUGUAGGUAGGGAAGAACAAAUGUGUAAGUAACUAGGAACGUAUUGACAGUACCUGAACAGAAAGCCACGGCUAACUACGUG
rnacentral:rRNA from 1 species